UACGAAGGGGGCUAGCGUUGUUCGGAAUCACUGGGCGUAAAGGGCGCGUAGGCGGCUGUUCAAGUCGGGGGUGAAAUCCUGUGGCUCAACCACAGAAUGGCCUUCGAUACUGGACGGCUAGAGACCGGAAGAGGUGAGUGGAACUGCGAGUGUAGAGGUGAAAUUCGUAGAUAUUCGCAAGAACACCAGUGGCGAAGGCGCUCACUGGUCCGGUUCUGACGCUGAGGCGCGAAAGCGUGGGGAGCAAACAGG
rnacentral:rRNA from 1 species